rnacentral:rRNA from 1 species
GAUGAACGCUGGCGGCGUGCUUAACACAUGCAAGUCGAACGAAGCACCUUGAUUUGAUUCUUCGGAUGAAGAUCUUGGUGACUGAGUGGCGGACGGGUGAGUAACGCGUGGGUAACCUGCCUCAUACAGGGGGAUAGCAGUUAGAAAUGACUGCUAAUACCGCAUAAGACCACAGCACCGCAUGGUGCAGGGGUAAAAACUCCGGUGGUAUGAGAUGGGCCCGCGUCUGAUUAGGUAGUUGGUGGGGUAACGGCCUACCAAGCCGACGAUCAGUAGCCGACCUGAGAGGGUGACCGGCCACAUUGGGACUGAGACACGGCCCAAACUCCUACGGGAGGCAGCAGUGGGGAAUAUUGCACAAUGGGGGAAACCCUGAUGCAGCGACGCCGCGUGAGCGAUGAAGUAUUUCGGUAUGUAAAGCUCUAUCAGCAGGGAAGAAAAUGACGGUACCUGACUAAGAAGCACCGGCUAAAUACGUG